AUUGAACGCUGGCGGCAGGCCUAACACAUGCAAGUCGAGCGGAGCGGCGGACGGGUGGGUAAUGCCUAGGAAUCUGACUGGUAGUUGGGGGUAACGUCCGGAAACGAGCGCUAAUACCUCAUACUAUCAAAUGAGACUAGGUCGGAUUGGCUAGUUGGUGGGGUAAAGGCCUACCAAGGCGACGAUCCGUAACUGGUCUGAGAGGAUGAUCAGUCACACUGGAACUGAGACACGGUCCAGACUCCUACGGGAGGCAGCAGUGGGGAAUAUUGGACAAUGGGCGAAAGCCUGAUGCAGCCAUGCCGCGUGUGUGAAGAAGGUCUUCGGAUUGUAAAGCACUUUAAGUUGGGAGGCGUUACCAGCAGAAUAAGCACCGGCUAACUCCGUGCCAGCAGCCGCGGUAAUAC
rnacentral:rRNA from 1 species